UAUAUAUUAGUGUGUGAAGCACAAAAAUUUUUGAUAUUUUUAGGAAUAGUUUAAAUCUAUUGUGUAUAA
rnacentral:tRNA from 1 species